GAUGAACGCUGGCGGCGUGCCUAAUACAUGCAAGUCGAGCGAACGGACGAGAAGCUUGCUUCUCUGAUGUUAGCGGCGGACGGGUGAGUAACACGUGGAUAACCUACCUAUAAGACUGGGAUAACUUCGGGAAACCGGAGCUAAUACCGGAUAAUAUUUUGAACCGCAUGGUUCAAAAGUGAAAGACGGUCUUGCUGUCACUUAUAGAUGUAUCCGCGCUGCAUUAGCUAGUUGGUAAGGUAACGGCUUACCAAGGCAACGAUGCAUAGCCGACCUGAGAGGGUGAUCGGCCACACUGGAACUGAGAAACGGUCCAGACUCCUACGGGAGGCAGCAGUAGGGAAUCCUCCGCAAUGGGCGAAAGCCUGACGGAGCAACGCCGCGUGAGUGAUGAAGGUCUUCGGAUCGUAAAACUCUGUUAUUAGGGAAGAACAUAUGUGUAAGUAACUGUGCACAUCUUGACGGUACCUAAUCAGAAAGCCACGGCUAACUACGUG
rnacentral:rRNA from 1 species